GUGAGGAAUUUUCCGCAAUGGGCGAAAGCCUGACGGAGCAAUGCCACGUGAAGGAUGAAGGCCUAUGGGUUGUAAACUUCUUUUCUCAGAAAAGAAUUAUGACGGUAUCUGAGGAAUAAGCAUCGGCUAACUCUGUGCCAGCAGCCGCGGUAAGACAGAGGAUGCAAGCGUUAUCCGGAAUGAUUGGGCGUAAAGCGUCUGUAGGUUGUUUAAAAAGUAUUCUGUCAAAGAUUAGGGCUUAACCCUAGAUAGGCAGAAUAAACUUUUAAGCUAGAGUUUGGUAGAGGCAGAGGGAAUGCCCGGUGGAGCGGUGAAAUGCGUAGAUAUCGGGAGGAACACCAAAGGCGAAGGCACUCUGCUGGGCCAAUACUAACACUGAGAGACGAAAGCGAGGGGAGCAAAUGGGAUUAGAAACCCGAGUAGUCC
rnacentral:rRNA from 1 species